ACACAUGACCUCUGUCCUUCCAGCUGCCACCAGUUUCUGGGUUGUCGAGUGAUACCCUGAAAGUUUACAGUCAACACUCCUUGUGUGGGGUCAGUCCUAGAAAUGGCGACGCUGCUCUCCGAAGAUAGGAAAGAAAAGGACCUCAUUCCAUUGAGCCAUUGACCGAAAUAUUUUCUCAACAAAGUUGAACUGAGCUGAAACUGUGUGAAUCAUGGCAAUACAGUGAAAGACAGUGAUUUACUGCUUUUGAGGGCGUGCAUGUAUAUGAUUAACGGAUGGAAGUGCAGGACUCCAAGAUUUACUUCCUUCCCUUUCCAGCAGAAUUACCUGAGACGAGUAAAAUCUACUGGUGGAGUCACUCCAUUAUUCUUAUCUGUGGAGAUCUAGAUCUUGAUUUGAAAGUUUCUGAGAAAAUCUUCAGCUCAGACUUGAGGGUCAACUUUACCAGCUGAAGUGACUACAUCCUGCCUGCUUUCAGCUCCAGUGGAAAAUGCAUUAAUCCCAGAGUCUCCGUGAGGUUUCCUGUUUGAUGACAUAAUCAGAAAAUCCUCCUCACAUUGCCCUUGGGGUUGCUGUCUGGAUGUUAUGUUGUCUUGGUGGGUGUAACUCAGCCAUCAAAAAAAUCAGCACAGGCCAUAAACUCAGGACCUGAAAUGCAUUAAUAUAAUGUUAAACGAAAUAACGCUGUGGGUAUGUCUGCAGCACUGGUAGGGAAUUUCAUUAAACUGCAGAUUCUCCCU
rnacentral:lncRNA from 1 species